ensembl:lncRNA
GAGAGGGCUGGGAGGAGGCAACGACAUCUCCACACCAUCCCCACUUGAGCCAACCAUGUGGAAAAUUCUGGCUUGGCUGACUCAUGAGGUGGGACUGAUGUGGGCAGAUACAUGUGGGUGCCAUAGAGGUGUGGGGGAAGAGCUGGCAACGCAGACAGAAGACCCUCUGCAAGGUGACCUACACUGCUUUCAGGGGAAGGGGUGCUUGCACGAAGCAGAAGGCACAGAGCUUCUGGUGCCAUUCCUCCUCAGCAGGAGAGGAGCUGCUGGGGGAAAAAAAAAAAAGAGAACUUCUCCUUGCAGGGUGCUUUCCUCCCUCUAACAAGGUUCUUCCAGGUGCUGACAUAUGCAAAGACCCUUCCCUGGUUACAGGAGUAAAUACAAUUAGUGCAGCACAUUAUGCACUGCCUUCCUAUUUGUCGGUGCAUUCACCUCAGUGCAAGCAACACAAUGCCUGAGUGCCACUUACGUGCUACUGCCAACUCCAGCUGCCCCACGUACCCGAGUCAGACUUGAGGAGGCAUGCCUUAAAGAGCACAAGCACUGUGAGUAAAGCCUUCUGUAUGUAUCUGCAUUGUGUCACAGUCACAAGAUGAUCACUGUAUAGGAUAGAUCGUUGCUGUGUUCCCUGAGUUGAGAGUGCCUGUGUGAAUGUAACCACAGUGACGCACAGAGCUGAAGGAAGGAUGGGUCCAGCAAUUAAAUAGAAAAAGAAGAAUGCCUUAUUAAUGACCUCAGGCAAGAUGCUGAUGAGCUCUGUGUGGUGCCCCAAAGGUUAGCACGAGCUGCUUCACGUGAACAGGAAACCAGGGCAGACAGCAGAGCACAGCUUUCACAUUUAAUGGGAUCUCCCUUCUCUCCAAGAGGAACAGCAUGAAGCAAAUGGACCGUCCAGCGCUGACUGCAGCUUGUGUGUGGUCUGUGAGUGUAACUAUGUGUGCAAUCCCAUAAGGAUGCCUACUCAAGGGAUAGCUUCUGUGAAGCGUUUUGGGCAAGGGAAAAGCAGCGAUGCUGGAGGCCGGUGGAAAGCAGCACCUCAGCAGCCUCCUGCCAUGUCAAGAUAACGUUGGUCUGCAAAUAUUUCUUGGUAAACUGUGGAGACUGUGGUGCAGAGAAGGAGAAAGAGAAAGGGUUCCUCAAACCCAAACAUCCCCAGAUAAAAGCUGGAGAUGACUGUCCUUCCCCUGCCCCUUCCCCAGGAGCCAACCCAGAUCACUUGGAAGACUCUCUCUGUCCUCUUGCCAUGACAGAGGCACCAAGUGCUGUCCAUUUCCAUCACCAACACAGAAUUUGGGAGAACCUUGUUGAGGCCAUGUAGAAGCACUUUUCUUCUCUCUGCUUUGGAAUCAGACUAUAUUUUUGGGAAAGGAAGAGGACAGAGGGAGGAAGGAACAACAAAUCCUCUUUUGCUCUGAGAUGUGCACACGUGUUUUCUGAUGGUUUCCUUAUUAUAAGCUCUUCCAUCUCACCGCUUUCACCAUUCCCUAAUAAUUCCAAUAAAUGUCAGAUCCAAUCUCAGUUAAUGAAAUGUACACCUAUUAAAUGACCAAAGUGGAAAAAUGGCCCACCCUGACUCGCUGCCUCGAGACCCAGCUGCAACGCCUGCUUUUUAUCCUGCAAUCAGAUGAUUUUUACCAGGUCCCUAGGAAAUUUCUAGUAAAAUAAACAAAUUUCAAAAAUUCUAUGGGACUUCCAGCUUGCUUCAUGAAGGAACCCUGAGAUGUUAUUCAAUACAAGGAGCCAUUUGGUUCACGUGUGAUUGCAAGCACUAACCAAAGGCAGCAUAAUGGGAUAGGUAUUUACAACAUAACCAUUAUCUUAUCAGAGCUUCAGGUACAGCUGUAAAUAGCCUGUUCCAGCUGGGCAAUCUGCUGAGUUAAAUGGGUUCUACUUUUAGAAGCAGGAACUGGAGAACAUGUCCCACUUAAAUGCAGAUUCACUUGCACCCAAGGGAUGGAAACUCAAACAGCAGACCCUGGCCACGGAGGAGGUCCGUGUUCUGUGCAGUGUUGCUUCCCUCCCUCUGACGCAGCAGGCUGAGCUCACACGGAUUGCACUGCUAGCACAAGUGCUCUGUUGACAGAGUCCUGUUAGCAGCUCACCAACCGUAGAGAAUUGCAGUUCCCUGGAUGGGAGGUUAUUUUGCACAGUCAGACAAAAAGAAAGUCAAGGCUGAAGGUGGAAAAAGAGAGACAACUUUAGAAGCAGUGAGAAAAAGAAAGGGAGAGGGCAGAGAAGGACUGAGGAAGGAGAACAUAAAAAAUGAGACCAGAGAAAGAAUAAUUGUUAAAGGACAAGCUUUGCGACUGUCUCCUUGACUGUGACCUGCCUGAAUGGGACAAAGUGUUUACUCUCUGCAUGCUGCUAUGCACCGAGUGCCAGGUAAAAAGACUGAUCUUCCACACCCUGGCAGUAACAUCUCUCUUGUGCAGUGUCAGCAGGAAACAAAUCUGUUAAACUUAGACUCAGUCCCUGGGUUUCAAAGGAGCCUUGUGAAGAAUCAGAAUUGGGUUGCAUGGAGUUUGAACUUGUCUAGAAAUGGGAGUUAUUUCAAAGAAAUGAAAGUAAGAAGUUUUUAUCUCAGAUGUGAGAAAUUUGAAGCCCAUUCCAGCCUGAUGGAGAUUAAGUCUCCAGUCUUUCAUAAAUAUCCUGGAGGCAACUCUACAAGAGAGCUAUCAGAAGAUGCUAUCCAACAUUUUGGUGGGCUAGGUGGAUGAAACUAAAUCUUGCUUAUUAUUGGAUGUUUGGCAUCAACUCCACUAGAGAGUGGGUGAUUUGUGGUGACUGACCACAAGGGAAGGUGGAAGUGGACUUGAGUUGGCAAUUAAUGGCAGAGGUUUGGGAGUCUAGAGAAACCAGCCCUUGGAAGUGUUAGCAAGGAGUGAGCCAGGGGUACCUAAUCUACUCACAUACAUAUACCAGGGCACAGAAACUGAGCCAGGGCAAACAGAAAGCAGAGGACAGAUUAAUUUGCAAUAAACAUGGAAGCAGUUGCAACAGAAAACAGUGUGCUUGAUGAAGGGUAUUUAGUUACAAGCUCUCAAUAAAAGCAUCCCGCAUCACAAAAGUAUGCAGCUUUUGGCAGUUUGCAAAGACAUACAAAACCAAAGUGCAUUUAUGAACAUACGACUGGGGGAACAAAGGCUUGGAACAUUUAAGUUUGAUGAUAAGUCAGAAAGUGAAGUUCUUCAGGCUCCAACUUAUGUGUAUACCAUAAAGCUCAAGAAGUAACCCUGUGAUGCUGAGGUGAGACAGACACCAUCAAAUUCUGAAAUAGUGUCAUUAUCAACAGAAACUUUUCUACCUUUAUAUUACAGGUUGAGAAGAGAAUGGAUUGCAGACAGAUAUCAGGAGAAAGACUUGGUGUUGCUGGCUGAUGAAAAGCUCAAUAUGAGACAGUAAUAUGCAUUGCAGCACAGGAAAAACAACUGUAUCCUGGGCUGAAUCAAAAGGAACGUGAAGGUCAGGUCAAAGGAGGUGAUUCUCCUCUUCAGCUCUGCUCUUGUUAGAUCCCACCUAGAGUACUGCAUUCAGCUUUGAGCCCCUGCAGAAGAAGGACAUGGACCUAUUGGAGUGAAUGCAGAGGAAGAUCAUGAGUAUGAUCAGAGGGCGGGAGCACUUCUCCAAACUUUGAAGACAGGCUGAGAGAGUUGGGGUCCUUCAGCGUGGAAAGGAGAAGAUUCCAGACAGACCAUAUUAGUGGCCUUCCAGUACCUACAGGGGUCUUACAAGAAAGCUGGAGAGAGACAUUUUACAAGUGUAUGCAGUUAUAGGACUAGGGUUAAUGACUUUAAACUGAAAGAGGGUAGAAUUAGAUUAGAUUUAAGGAAGAAAUUCUUCACGAUGAGGGUGGUGAGGCCCUGGAACAUUUUGCUCAGAGAAGAUGUGAAUGCCUCAUCCCUGGAAGUAUUCAAGACCAAUUUGAACGGGGCUUUUAGAAACCUGGGCUAUUGAAAGGUGUUCCUGCCCAUGGCAAUGAGGUUGGAACUAGAUUGUCUUGAAGGUCCUUUCCAAUAUAAACUGUUCUCUGAUUGUAUGAUUCUAUGUUAAUAAAGACAAAAUGGCAAUGCAGUCAUAUGCAGUCACACAGGACUGGAAGAGUCCAUGUUGCCAAGCUACACGGGAUGUUUGCAGAAGAGCAGAUGCUAAUCAGAACGUAGAGAGCAGAGGAAGCCCAAGGCACAUGCAUAUCUGGGUUGAAUCAAAGUUUACAAAUGCAGACGUAUAACUUGUUCACCGAACAGAUGUAGCAUCUCUUUUUAAAGAGCUGGUGGGUGGCCUUAACUGCUAUGAGAGGGUUUAAAAACAACAUAAAUACUCUCGCCAAUGGGAAUACCCAAGUGACUGUCAAACUAUGUGUAAGAAUUGAGUCCUAUGAGGACAGAGAAAGUUAUUAAAGUUUACCUAAAUUUUGGGCAUUUGCUGAGCAAAUGGGCACCAGCUGGGCAAAAACCAAACAUCUCUUCACCAGCCUGGGACGGUCUGGGUAGGGUUAGAAUUUGAUGAGGAGAUGAGCAGGGUUGAAAACGGCUCAUAGCUGGAAGCAGGAGUGAGGCUGUCAUGCAACAGGAGGAAACAAAGAUCUUUCUGGAAGGGGAAAUGGGUCACUCAUGAAAUGCAGGCAUGUGGGAGGAAGGCAUUUUAGGAGCUUAGGUAUUGUGGUGAGUGUCCUUCCACUGCCCAUUUUGCUUCUUACAUACGACAGGGACAAAUGGUUGUUGUAGCCUGUGGCAAUGCCACUUAAGCAGCCAAUGCCCACUUCCCAAAGCAGACGCUUGGGAUUUGAUCUCAUGGGAGAUGGUGAAUGGGCUGUAUUGAGGACAUUAUUUUUCCAGGACUUCCUAUAGGCGGAUGUACAAACCCAGAUCUCUCCCACUACAGAUAUUCUGAGCAAGGGGUUUUCCUUCGGCAACAGUUUCCAUUGGUGGCUUGCCUCUCAAGGGUCAGCUACAGAACAGGUCCAGCAGUCAGACAUGGAAAACAGGAGAGUGAGAUGUCAUCAUUCACCUCUCUUAACCCUUUCCUGAGGCGGGUGGGGCUACCACCCAUGCUCAGCUGCACAUCUUGAGUCCAGCCUUCAGCUUAUGCCUUGCAAGAGGAUCUGAGGAGGCUCCUUGGAAGCUGUGCAGCUUGGACAAGGACACAGGGUAGGACAUAAGGGGAAUACACAGGUGUGCCUAUUUUGGGGUGAUGUUACGGCUUCAAUGUGGAGGCCGUCUGGAGUAGGAGAGUCUCUUGCUCCUGUUUGACAGAUGGAAUAAGCUAUCUGCACAGAAGGCACUACAGGAAGAAGCAUGAAGGUAAUUUGCAAAGGGUGGCUGAAGGAUAAAAAGGGAACUGUGUUGUGAGGCCAGAAUGACGCGUGCAUAAGUAGCGGACGUCAGCACACAACACAGUCAGGUCCUUCACAGGGUAACACAGGGAGCUCUUUUAAACACACGCAUACAUGCACACACAAAAAGAACAAUUUAUGGUUGUGUCAGAUUCACGUCUGGGCUUCUCAUUAAAAUUAAUGAGGUAACGUCUCUGAGGCAUUCUGAAACGGAUGCAGCCUAGGGAGUGAAGGAAAGACCUCUAUCACUUUCAAACAGCUACUUAGCAAAACCAAUUGCAAUUUUUAUUUUCUAUGACCACUCAUCAAACUCACACCAAGAGCAGAGAACACUGUUUAAACUCAUAAGCAGUUGGCCUUUCUUCAGAUACUUUUAAUACAAUGACCAAAAUUCAAUGGCCAAACUCAUGCUGAAAACAUAAAAAAAUUAAUCGGUCUGGGAGAAGUGCUAACCUGGUCCUAUUUCGUAUCACUUAUGGAGUUAUAUGAAGGUGAAGACUAGAUUACUACAAAUAUUUUUAAUUAAUUAAUGUAUUUUCUUCAGUCUAAAGAAUAAAAGAAAUGAGAGAAGACGUAGUGGCAAAAUGGUGUGCAACCGCCUGUCCCAAACUCUAUCAGCACCCUAGAAAUGGACAUACAAGUCUUCCUAUCCACCCAGAGGCAUUCUGCUGCACUCUGGUUACAUGAACAUGUACUGUAUUUUGGUACAACCAUUGCCUAAUUGGGCUGAGGAGGAGGAAGCCAUUCUGGGUUACCUGCAUUGAGUGGCCCCAGUGCCAUCAGUACAGGGAACAUCCUGUAAGAGAGGCAGAGAGAUGCUGUGCUGGAGAAACAGAUGUGCUCCUCCCUCUCCCGGCAGAGUCCAUUCAGCCCAGACCUUGUCUCUUUGUCACUCACUGCAUGCUGUGCUUUUCGUGCAGACAGUGUUUGUGGCAGUGCUAAGCGCGCACACCUGGAAAGGAAGUCAGUGGGAGCUGUAUGCUGAGUGUAUAAAAUACUGAAAGCUUGCCAGCAGCUUUGGGAAACAGAAGCUUGAGUGCCUUCGUUUUGGCACCCACAGUUAGUGAGAAACAUCAGGCAACUUUGACCUCUCUAUUUUAUUGUGCGUCUGAACCACCUCCUCUCCCAUGCACGCUAUGGAGAAAUAGGCAUCAGUUUUUUGAAGCUCUCUGAUUUGAGGGUAAGGCCACAAGGACACUCAGUAAUAACGACUACAGGACAAAACAGGAAAGAAAAAAAAAAAAGAAAAAAAGAAAAGGAAAAAACAGUGGAAAACAGGCCUGCAGGCCAUGCACUGGUUAGGGCAAGCAGCUAAGCUGAAUAAUUAUGCACAGAGUCAAAACAGCGGAAAAAGAGUAUGGGAUCAUGAAAUUGAGUGCUGCACAGUGCCAUAUGCUCAAGGUUAUGCAUGCAGAUUGCAGAUACAACGUGAAGUCUGCAGGCCCCAGCUUCUGAUGGGCAGACUUCACUGGAUGCAUGUUUGCUUAAUGUAGGUAGGUGCCUGUGUGCUAAGCACUAGGUGGACGUGGAGUUGACAUCCAGUGCUGAAACAUACCCCCUUUCCCACUAGCUGAACAUCUCUCUCAUGUCUCCUUCUUGUCUUGCACGCUGCCUGAUUUAUGAAGGUCCCCAGUCAGGAUGCCCUGUUCUGUACUGAAUAAUUGGUCCUACCCCUCCGUGUGCCUGCAGGUUGGCUAGCUGCCUGCUGUCCCAACCCCUCUGUUUUAUUGCAUGAAAGAAACAGACUCUGAAGUUCAUCCUGACUUUUUCUGUCCACAUAUAUCAGGAAGUGGGAGAUGACAGUCUUUUUCUUUCUGCAUAUUUUCAAAGACACAAAGAGGCACAGAGCCUCUUCAACAUGAUAUAUCAGUAAUUUCAUUUAAGCUGGAGAAUUAUCUUUCAAUAUAUAUCAUCGGUAUAUUUAAGUUUUAUUUUAUAUCAGUUUGAUAAAAUUAAACUGGGCCUGCUUUCUACAAAUGUCUUGGAUGUUUUCCAUUUCUGUAAUUGUAACAUCUACUUACUGCACAUUAAAUAAGAGGCCUGGCAGAAGUCUAUGCUACUCCUUGUUGUAUGAAUGUCACUGAACUUUGUUCAGGUUCUCCAACCUUAUGCAGAGUUUAACAGUAUCAAACACAUGGAAGCCUACCAUCUUUUUGUUAAUGUCCCCAUAACAAAAUAAAUGUAAUAAUGCUUGAGAAAGAGAAGCAUUUCAUGACUCCUAGCUCAAGUUGGUACAAAUAAAAUUGCUAGAUUAUAGGAAAUGAUGAAGAGCUAUAAGUGGUCCAUCAUCCCAUCCUAGGUCAGCUCGUCGUCAUCCUGUCUCUGGUUCUCACAGCACCAAAUGUCCAUUUAUCUUGCCAUUUCUUCUGUUACUGUGUGAACAGUUGGUCUCCUGCACCCAGCAAACCUAUUCUUCCUCCUCCCACAGCUGCUGUUUUCCUCAGUCUUUUCUUCAGGUCUUCUUCCUCCUCCUCAACCAAAGGUCUGUCUAUUGAGUGUAUAUCUUGUAUGUCUGCAGAGCACCUGGCUUUCAUUCCCCAUCAGAAAAACGUACUGGCUGUAUGAAUUUCUAGAUGACAGCAGCCUUUUCUCUGAGCUGUGAGAGCUGACAUUUCAUGACAACAGCCAUGCCAUUCUGUCAAGCUUGAGGAUAAUGUUAUCUCCAUGGCAGCUAAUGGUGUCAUCCUAAUUGUCGUUGAUCCUC